AUACGGGAGGCAGCAGUAAGGAAUAUUGGUCAAUGGACGCAAGUCUGAACCAGCCAUGCCGCGUGGAGGAUGAAGGUCCUCUGGAUUGUAAACUUCUUUUAUUUGGGACGAAAAAAGGGAAUUCUUUCUCACUUGACGGUACCAGAUGAAUAAGCACCGGCUAACUCCGUGCCAGCAGCCGCGGUAAUACGGAGGGUGCAAGCGUUAUCCGGAUUCACUGGGUUUAAAGGGUGCGUAGGCGGGUAUGUAAGUCAGCGGUGAAAUCCCCGAGCUUAACUUGGGAACUGCCGUUGAUACUAUAUAUCUUGAAUGUCGUGGAGGUUAGCGGAAUAUGUCAUGUAGCGGUGAAAUGCUUAGAUAUGACAUAGAACACCCAUUGCGAAGGCAGCUAACUACGCGAAUAUUGACGCUGAGGCACGAAAGCGUGGGGAUCAAACAGGAUUAGAUACCCUGGUAGU
rnacentral:rRNA from 1 species